rnacentral:rRNA from 1 species
UAGUGGCAGACGGGUGAGUAAUGUAUAGGAAUCUACCUAGUAGUACGGAAUAAUUGUUGGAAACGGCAACUAAUACCGUAUACGCCCUACGGGGGAAAAAUUUAUUGCUAUUAGAUGAGCCUAUAUUAGAUUAGCUAGUUGGUGGAGUAAUAGCCUACCAAGGCAAUGAUCUAUAGCUGAUCUGAGAGGAUGAUCAGCCACACUGGAACUGAGAUACGGUCCAGACUCCUACGGGAGGCAGCAGUGGGGAAUAUUGGACAAUGGGCGAAAGCCUGAUCCAGCCAUGCCGCAUGAGUGAAGAAGGCCUUUGGGUUGUAAAGCUCUUUUAGUGGGGAAGAUAAUGACGGUACUCACAGAAGAAGUCCUGGCUAACUCCGUGCCAGCAGCCGCGGUAAUACGGAGAGGGCUAGCGUUAUUCGGAAUUAUUGGGCGUAAAGGGCGCGUAGGCUGGUUAAUAAGUUAAAAGUGAAAUCCCGAGGCUUAACCUUGGAAUUGCUUUUAAAACUAUUAAUCUAGAGAUUGAAAGAGGAUAGAGGAAUUCCUGAUGUAGAGGUAAAAUUCGUAAAUAUUAGGAGGAACACCAGUGGCGAAGGCGUCUAUCUGGUUCAAAUCUGACGCUGAAGCGCGAAGGCGUGGGGAGCAAACAGGAUUAGAUACCCUGGUAGUCCACGCUGUAAACGAUGAAUGUUAAAUAUGGGAAGUUUACUUUCUGUAUUACAGCUAACGCGUUAAACAUUCCGCCUGGGGACUACGGUCGCAAGAUUAAAACUCAAAGGAAUUGACGGGGACCCGCACAAGCGGUGGAGCAUGUGGUUUAAUUCGAUGCAACGCGAAAAACCUUACCACUUCUUG